rnacentral:rRNA from 1 species
AUGGCCAGCCUCUGUGCCAAGGCCAGCGCCGGCCAUCUCCGCGUCUACGGCCCGCCGUUGCUUCAUGAAGGCGCCCUGUCCAUGGAGGAGAGGGAGCAGGACACAUCGCUCCUCCUCAUCAAGAUGGGGCACCACCGCAACGAAGCCGUCAAGCUGCUCGCCUCGCACCCCGAUCUGCUACGGUUCCUCGAUGCGGCGACCUGCGUCGGCCUGCUCGAUCCGGUCUCCAACAUGGUCGUCAGCGCCCUUCUUGCCGCCGCAGCAGAUCCCGUCGGCGGGGCCUCGGCGCUCGUCGGCGCCGACAAGGACGUGGAGCGGCGCUCCCUCGAUGGCCUCGUCGCCUUCCUCACCUGCUUCUUCCCUCACCUCACCGACUGGGAGGCCGUCAGGUACCUUGUCCUCGCCCAAGCCGACCCGCUCGUUGCCGCGCGCAUCGUCGUCGAGGACCGCCGCACCAAGUGCUUCCGCCCAGGCUCCGCGGCCACCAACGGCGCCCUCAAGCUCGCUCUCAAGUGCGCAAUGGUGGCCGCCAAGCAUCCGUGUCCCUCCGAGCUCGCAGGCGUGUGGCUGUCCUUGUGCUCCUCCCUCGACACCCUUGAGAAGGCCGUCUCCGUGCUCAAUUCCCCCGGCCACAUCCUCCACACUCUGGCCAAGCAGACGCCAGAUGUCCCUUGUCCUGCUCCUGUUGGCAUUGCCAGCAGCCUCAUCAGGCCAUGGGAGCUUGCCGCCCGUCGCAGUGAGCACGCCGCCACGGUGACCUGCCAGCAUUCCUGGUCACUAAGGCGAGUGCUCCUACAUACGAUCCAUGGUUUCUACCUGCAGGCACUCGCCAGGAUGCCGGGCGGCGAGCUGCGGUCUCGCUACCACCGUAGCAUGCUCAAGGCUGGCCAUUGCUACGGCCCUUUCGAUCCUGUCACCAACAUCAUCGUCAACACCAUCUGGUACGAAGCCACCUUCCCACCACUGAGUCAACUGGACGACCUCGACAUUCUCGGCACCUUGAACCUGAUGCGGAUUGAAGCACAAUCCUUGUAUGGACUUGUCUCUUUCCUCUGCACCCAUGACAAAGAUCUCAAUGCCGAUCAGGCCAUAAGGUUCCUGCUCGACACGGAUCUCAACUUGGCCGCGACAAAGCAGUGCAGCGGUGUCCAGGAAGAACAAGAAGAAGCCUUCAGGCCUGCUGCAAUUGCGGCAUGGCACCCCAGGCCUGAUGCCCAAGCAGGAUUCCUCGGUUCAUGCUGGAAGCCUCAAGUCCUGUCACUGCUGACAGAUAAUGGGGCCCAACAAGAGCUCUCCUCUAAGUGUGUCCAGCAGCUUGCCAUGCUAUUGUCAUCUGCUUUCAAUUCCACUGGCAUGUCAGUCCAGCAGAAGCAGCCAGUUGCCGUUUAUGAACGGGCGUUCAAUCUUUCCAUGUCGGAGGGACGCAAACAGCGAAGGGAUCAUAAAAGAAUCUCCAGAAAGGUCAAGGCUGCACUAAGCAGAUAUGAGAUGCAGGAUUCGGGGCACGCCUGUUAUCAGCUUCAUGUCAUCUGCGGUGUGAAUGUAUCCGUAUCUGGUCGUGACUGGAAGCGAAAAACUCGUUUUGAUGAUGACUACUACCAUCACAUACAUGCCAACUUUCUGGUGAUGCGGGAUGUUGGCUCUGUAGGUUCAGUUCCAGUACUCUUCUUUGCUGAACUUAGCAAUGACGAUGAUGGCGACAAGGAUAGCCAGCUUUUAUGUUGCCCCGUGGAUUUUCCAACACCAGGGGCUGAGCCAGUGCGCUGCCUUUUCUGCGAGCUAGAAGGGAUCAGGAUUGUGCACCCGGCUAGUGGGGAGGGAUUCCAUGGGCACGAGGUGGACUUUGGGAAGAUGGUCCGCGGAGAAGAUCUAUAUGACAACGGCUACUAUCGGGAGGUGUACAACAACGAUCGCAUUCUAAGUAAUAGCGAUUAUGUUACGGACUGGAUGCACGAUGGACUCGAGGAGGACUACAUGUACCUAGGUAGCAAUGACUUCACCAUCAAGGAAGACGACGGCCAUGAGUCGGAUGAGUAUGGAGACGAGUAG